rnacentral:misc_RNA from 1 species
GAUGAAGAACGUAGCAAAAUGCGAUAAGUAAUGUGAAUUGCAGAAUUCAGUGAAUCAUCGAAUCUUUGAACGCACAUUGCGCCCGCCAGUAUUCUGGCGGGCAUGCCUGUUCGAGCGUCAUUUCAACCCUCAAGCACAGCUUGGUGUUGGGACUCGCGUUAAUUCGCGUUCCCCAAAUUGAUUGGCGGUCACGUCGAGCUUCCAUAGCGUAGUAGUAAAACCCUCGUUACUGGUAAUCGUCGCGGCCACGCCGUUAAACCCCAACUUCUGAAUGUUGACCUCGGAUCAGGUAGGAAUACCCGCUGAACUUAAGCAUAUCAAUAAGCGGAUGA